GACAUGAGUGGGAUCUUUUAUCUACAGAUAUGGAACAGCAGAGGUGCAGAAAUCCUGCAAGUCUUGAGAUCUGUUUCUGUGUGUGUGUGUGUGUGUGUGUGUGUGUGUGUGUGUGUGUGUGUGUUCAAAUCACAAAUAGGAGGCUUCUACAACAGGUGUUCUUGUUGCUUUUAACUCUCUCUUUCUCUUUCUUCCUUUUCUGAUGUCCUCACACCUGUUGUGGUAUGGGGGACCUUAAAACAGGCAAUCCUCUGUGUGUGUGUGUGUGUGUGUGUGUGUGUGUGAGAGAGAGAGAGAGAGAGAGAGAGAGAGAGGGUGGAUGGGUGGUAUGUUUAAUAGCUAGUUUAAUUCAAGUGUCCCACACAAGUCUCUCUCUCUCUCUCUCUCUCUCUCUCUCUCUCUCUCUCUCUCUCACACACACACACACACACACACACACACACACACACACACACACCCCCUUUGAUCCAGGUAGGUGACCAUGCAUGAGGCGAUUAGCCACACUGUUCAUGUAGCACCUGGGUGAAAAGCAGUCUCGUAAUGGAAUUAGCUUGUUGGUGCAAAAGUAAAGAUCGUUUACAUUUCAAUGGAGGAAGGAAGACAACAACAAAGGGGAAAUGCAAAUAAUUAACACACUCCUGUAGGCUGAGACGAGUGUGUUAGCAUCUGUGAAACAAGCAUAGCAUGACGCUAAUUAUAUUUGUGAAUAUACAGCAUGAUAAUCAUUUGUGGGUAGAAAAAGGCUACAUCAACGCCCUUACAGUAACGUUAUUUUUAAAUAAACUGUAGCUGUAGGAGUAAUUUAAAGAGUGUGUACUUUAAAAAAAAAAAAAAAAAAACAACUAAAUUUAUAACUAACCUUUGUAUUUAAAAUAUAGACAAAAAUAUUCAUAAUUUUAUUCUUGCGUCAAUUUGUAAACCUUUUAAUUUGUUACCUUCAGCUGAUAGCUAGGUGAGUUUAUACCGCUGUUUGUAAUUUUAAACUAAUGUUCUUCCUUCUUAAAAUUUGACAAAUGUGAAGUUCGAUAAGAUUCAUUUGUCCGGUAUAUCAUCAUAUCCAUUUUUAUUUAUAGUCUGAUUAUUACCAGGAUUUCUCUUACAAAUAUAACAAAUAUGAAUUAUCUCUAUUGGAAUCUGUACUAUUAUUUAUCAUCAUAUAAAGUUUUAAUAAGUGGCAUAGUCGAUUUUAUAUAUAUAUACAAUUUUUUCUUUUAUAUUUACAUUUCCUCCAGCAAUCUGUACAUAUAGAAAUACAUGACAUCUUCAUGUCUCAGCGAUUAGCGACAGCGGCUAAUCGGGCGUCUCUUCUUUCCUCUUAUCUUUUACAUCACUUGGCUAGCAAACUGAAAAUGUCGUGCAUAUCGUUAGCCAACUUUUACACAUUUGCCGUGUACCCUCUAUGAUGUAAAACAUGUACAGUUCUCGAAUCUGAUUGGUCAGAUGGUGUUGAUUAAUUUUCUAGAACAGCAUCCCUGACAGAAAUAGUGCUUGUUCUCGUAACGGUAACAGCUCGUUCACACGAAAUCGUACGGUGGAUGAUCUAAGGCUAAUAAUAAACAGAUUUUUAAAAAUGUUUUGUUAUUUAUCGGAGAAGAAACGAGUAGACGGAGUCUCCAGCGUCGGUUGUAGUUGUCCAACACAGGACUGAAGUCGUUAGGACUUUGUACUUUCUUGUUUCUCG
ensembl:lncRNA